AUGAGAUUUCAUCACGCUACUGAGAAUGGCGUGUAACUUAAAAUUUAUGAGUUGUUUAUUUCUGGAAUUUUCCAUUUAAUAUUUUCAGACCUUGGUCACUUGGAGGUAACUGAAACCACAGACAGUAAAACCACAGAUAAGAGGAGACUACUGUAUCAGAAUAAAGAACCGAGACCUGAAUUACACUUCAGAAAUUGACUAAGAUAGAAUGUUAAUAAAUUGCUCUAACUAGAUCUUCUGGAAGAGCUACCAGGGAGAAAAGCUGGGCACGAAGUGUAGGAGAGCAAGGAAGAACCGCAAUUAGGAGGAAAAAGUAGAACACACAUUUCCCUCUUCUGACUUCCAUGAUGUGGCUGGCUUUGAAGAAAGAUCUAGUGCCCUUUGCCAUGGAGCUGAACAUGUACCUGGCCCAGGACUUGCAAAGCUGAAGGAGGAGACCUGGAGAGAGCUUCAGGAGCUGCAGUCACAGCUGCUGCCCUAAGUUAAGGUGAGCUACCAGGUCAGUGACAAUGUGUGCUCGCUGCAAUAGUGCUCAGUGCCCUCUUCAGAGUAUAAUGGUGGCUGCUUCACUUCUGCCUUCCAAACCUUAUGUAAAUUUUUCUUCAGGCUAACCUUAACCCCGUGUAAAACAGGAACAGGAAAGGGAAUUCUAUGAAAUAUAGUUUCUGAUUUAGCUAAUUUGAUACGGGACAAAACCACCAUAGGCUACCAUUGCCAACUUGACAUCCAUCUACACUUCUUUUAACCAUACAUAACUUACAGACAAAGACAUUAGAAAAUGACGUUUCCACCUAAUAAGAUGCAACUAUCACUUCUAUAGUUGAAAAUACACUAACUUUCCAUGUGCUACUUUAUCUAUUCUGGGGUGAUGCUCACUCCUCUUCUGGUUAAGAUCCACUCUCCCUUUCAUAUCCUAUUCUUUAAAUACUGAGAUAUGAGGAUGCUGUAGAUUGAACUGUGUUUGCCAAAAAGCUAUAUUUUCAAAGUUUUAAACCCCAGACCUUGUGAAAGUGAUCUUAUUUGGAAAUAGGGUCUUUGCAGAUGUAAUCAAGGUUUUAAAAGGUCAUAUUGGAUUAGAGUGGGCCCUAAACCAAUUACUGGUGUCCUUAAAGGAAUGAAUGCCCUAUGAUGAUAGAGGCAGAGAUUGGAGUGAAGCAUCUACAAGCCAAGGAACACCAAAGCUUGCUGGAUAUCACCAGAAGCUAGGAGAGAGGAAUGGAACAGAUUCUCCCUCAGAGACUUCAAAAGGAACUAACCAUGAUGACACCUUGAUUUUGGAUUUCUAGCCUCUAGACUGUAAGAUAAAUUUCUGUAGUUUUAAGCCAUGCAGUCUGUGGGACUUUGAUAUGGCAGCCCAAGCAAAUGAAUGCAAAGGAUAACUACCUUAACCAUAUUUUAUAUUAGAUGGUAGAGAGAGGAGAAAAAAAGAAUUGGUUGAUAUAUCACCAAAUAUAUUUAUAUCAAAGUAUGGAAUAUUCAUAACUCUUACCGUCCUAAUUCCUACAACUGAUUAUGUGGUCACAGCAGAUGUUUUUAACUUCUUUCUCUCACUAUCCAUUCCAUAUACCCUUUGUCCUCAGCAAGCACUUCACCUGGCUAUUGUUCCUUGCCUGUUGAGGUGACCUAAGUCUUCAUUUUUGAAGGAUCUGAACCUUUGGCAGUCUGCCUACAUUGGGUUGUUUUCCAUUUACUUUUGUUAUAAGACAUGAGAGUUUCAGAGGUGCCCUUUGUCUCCUUACUCGUAUAGUCUAGUAAUAAUCCAGUUUCCCCUUGAUAGUCACAGUCAUCCCAGCCAGUAUAGUAACCCCAUUCUUUGCCUGUUGGUUCUUUAGCAUGAGGAGCCCAAAGUGGCCAGUAGGCAGCUUCACCUUCCAGUUUAAUGGAGCCAUUGUUGGAUCUCCUAGCAGAGCACCUCUCCCUUGGGAACUAAGCCUUCUAGGCCAGCAGAAUCCAAAGUUGCAGGGUAGGAAGAACAAAUUUUGCAAGGGGAUCACGAGGGGUAACAGUGACAGGACAUUUUCCCAUUUCAACUCCUUGAUUUCUGGACCUGUGAAUCCUGGAUAAAGGAGAAACAGUAACAUAUAUUGGUUAAUGAUUUAGAGAAUUUACUGCAUUUUGAAAGACAUUACCCUAGCCCUGCAAAGUGUUUCCAUUCAUCUAGCACAGUGACUGAAUUGUCAAAAGAACCAUUCCACUGCUUCAGAGUGAUGGAUAACAUGGUAAAACUAGUGAAUUACGUGAUCAUGAUCCCGUUGCUACACUUCAUUUGUCGCAAAAUAAGUUUCUUGGUUAGAAGCAAAGCAUUGUGGAAUACCAUGAUGGGGAAUAAGACAUAAGAAUUCUAUAAGUCUGCCAAUACUUAUUUUGGAAAAAGUAUUGCAGACAGGGAAGGCAAAUCCACAUGAAGCGUAAGUUUCUAUGGAGUGAGAACAAAACAUUGCCCUUUCCGUGAUAGAAGUGGCCUAAUGUAAUUAACUUACCAUCAGAUAGGUGGCUGAUUCUCUGGGAAUGGUGCUAUUUCAGGGGCUCAGUGUUGGGCUCUGCUUUCGUUGGGUUGGACACUAAGCGGUGGCUACAGCCAGAUUAGACAUGGUGAGCGAAAAUUCACAUUGCUGAGCCCAUGUAUACGCUCCAUCUCUGCCACCACAGCUACUUGGUUCAUGAUCCCAUUGGUCAAGAAUACGAGUGACUGGAGAAAGAGACCUGACGGAGGUGUCAUCUUGACAAUUAUUAAGAUCCUUCUUUGCUGAGGUGGAGCUUUGUCGAGCAUUCACGUGGGACAUUGUGUAUCCAUUCAGGGAGUUCUGUCCAUUUACUUCUUCCCCAGACUUUCUUGUCACCAAUUUUCCAAUCAUGUUUCUUCUAAGUCUCCAAUGUAGAAUAUGAAAUUCAGAAUUAUCAUCCCAAGGAGUAGGGGGUCUAGGGA
ensembl:lncRNA